AAAUUGAAGAGUUUGAUCAUGGCUCAGAUUGAACGCUGGCGGCAGGCCUAACACAUGCAAGUCGAACGGUAGCACAGAGAGCUUGCUCUCGGGUGACGAGUGGCGGACGGGUGAGUAAUGUCUGGGAAACUGCCUGAUGGAGGGGGAUAACUACUGGAAACGGUGGCUAAUACCGCAUAACGUCGCAAGACCAAA
rnacentral:rRNA from 2 species